rnacentral:rRNA from 1 species
AACGAACGCUAGCGGUGUGGAUUAGGCAUGCAAGUCGUGCGCGAAAGUCUUCGGACGAGUAAAGCGGCGAAAGGGUGAGUAACACGUAACCAACGUACCCUGUAGAUUGGAAUAACCUCUGGAAACGGUGGGUAAUGCCAAAUGGUUCGUCUGUCAGCAUUGACGGAACGAUAAACGGCGGCUUCGGCUGUUGCUACGGGAGCGGGUUGCGGCCUAUCAGCUUGUUGGUGGGGUAACGGCCUACCAAGGCGAUGACGGGUAGCGGGUCUGAGAGGAUGAUCCGUCACACUGGGACUGAGACACUGCCCAGACUCCUACGGGAGGCUGCAGUCGAGAAUCUUCCACAAUGGACGAAAGUCUGAUGGAGCGACACCGCGUGCAGGAUGAAGGCCUUAGGGUUGUAAACUGCUGUCACGCUAUAGGAACCGUCUGUACUGAAUAGGUGCAGGCCUGACCAAAGCGAGAGGAAGCACCGGCUAACUCCG